AUGCAAGAGAGUGCUAGAAAGGAUGUGGAACGUGCUUUUGGUGUGCUUCAAUCCCGGUGGGGUAUCGUUCGAAACCCUGCACUGUCAUGGGAUGCAAGAAAGCUUUGGGAGGUGAUGACUGCUUGUGUAAUCAUGCACAACAUGAUCGUGGAGGACGAGCAUGAUGAGAGUAUCUUCGACCAAGGAUUUGAUUAUCAAAGUGAGAAUGUUGAGUCCCUGCACGUGGAACGACCACAUUUGAAUAGUUUGUCCAAUUCCAUCGUGAGCUGCGUGAUUAGCACACUCAUUCGGAUCUUCAAAAUGACUUGGUUGAGCACGUGUGGGAUCACAUUGGCAACCAAUAGAUGUAUUGGUUCAUUUUAUGUUCAAGACAAUUUUGAUUUGGUUGUAAAACUAUUUUAUUAG
rnacentral:rRNA from 1 species